rnacentral:rRNA from 1 species
CAAUAAGACUCUCGGCAACGGAUAUCUCGGCUCUUACAUCGAUGAAGAACGUAGCGAAAUGCGAUACUUGGUGUGAAUUGCAGAAUCCCGUGAACCAUCGAGUCUUUGAACGCAAGUUGCGCCCGAGGCCUUCGGGUCGAGGGCACGCCUGCCUGGGCGUCACGC